UACGUAGGGUGCGAGCGUUAAUCGGAAUUACUGGGCGUAAAGUGUGCGCAGGCGGCCGCGCAAGUCGAGUGUGAAAGCCCCGAGCUUAACUUGGGAAUUGCGCUCGAAACUACGUGGCUGGAGUGUGGCAGAGGAAGGUGGAAUUCCACGUGUAGCGGUGAAAUGCGUAGAGAUGUGGAGGAACACCAAUGGCGAAGGCAGCCUUCUGGGCCAACACUGACGCUCAUGCACGAAAGCGUGGGAGCAACAGG
rnacentral:rRNA from 1 species